AGCAGCCGCGGUAAUUCCAGCUCCAAUAGCGUAUAUUAAAGUUGUUGCAGUUAAAAAGCUCGUAGUUGAAUUUUAGGCCUGGCCGGAUGGUCCGUCUUUGGCGAGUACUGUUCUGUCGUCGGGUCUAUCCUUCUGGUGAGCCGGUAUGCCCUUUAUUGGGUGUGUCGGGGAACCAGGACCAUUACCUUGAAAAAUUAGAGUGUUUAAAGCGGGCAUUUGCUUGAAUAGAUUAGCAUGGAAUAAUAGAAUAGGACGUUGGUUCUAUUUUGUUGGUUUUAGGACCACCGUAAUGAUUAAUAGGGAUAGUUGGGGGCAUUAGUAUUCAAUUGUCAGAGGUGAAAUUCUUGGAUUUAUUGAAGACUAACUAUUGCGAAAGCAUUUGCCAAGGAUGUUUUCAUUAAUCAAGAACGAAAGUUAGGGGAUCGAAGACGAUCAGAUACCGUCGUAGUCUUAACCAUAAACUAUGCCGACUAGGAAUCGGGCGACGUUAUUUCAUGACUCGCUCGGCGCCUUA
rnacentral:rRNA from 1 species